rnacentral:rRNA from 1 species
GCGAUCGGUGGAUGCCUUGGCACCAAGAGCCGAUGAAGGACGUUGUGACCUGCGAUAAGCCCUGGGGAGUUGGUGAGCGAGCUGUGAUCCGGGGGUGUCCGAAUGGGGAAACCUGGAAUGUCCGGAGUAGUGUCCGGUGGCCCUGCCCUGAAUGUAUAGGGGUGUGGGUGGUAACGCGGGGAAGUGAAACAUCUUAGUACCCGUAGGAAGAGAAAACAAGUGUGAUUCCGUGAGUAGUGGCGAGCGAAAGCGGAGGAGGCUAAACCGUGUGUGUGUUCAAGCCGGCAGGUGUUGCAUGUGCGGGGUUGUGGGGGCCUUGUGGUUCUGCUGCCGCAGGAUUGGCCAGUGAGAAAUGUUGCGUGAAGGUGAAGCGUCUGGGAAGGCGUACCGGAGUGGGUGAGAGUCCUGUAACUGUAAGCGUGGCACUGGUGUGGGGUUGCCCCGAGUAGCGUGGGACUCGUGGAAUUUCGCGUGAAUCUGGCGGGACCACCCGUCAAGCCUAAAUACUCCUUGGUGACCGAUAGUGGAUGAGUACCGUGAGGGAAGGGUGAAAAGUACCCCGGGAGGGGAGUGAAAGAGUUCCUGAAACCGGUCGCAUGCAAGCCGUCAGAGCCUGUGUGGUGAUGGCGUGCCUUUUGAAGAAUGAGCCUGCGAGUUAGUGAUGCGUGGCGAGGUUAACCCGUGGUGGGGGAGUCGUAGCGAAAGCGAGUCCGAUAAGGGCGUGAGUCGCGUGUUCUAGACCCGAAGCGGUGUGAUCUAUCCAUGGCCAGGAUGAAGCGUCGGUAAGACGUCGUGGAGGUCCGAACCCACUUCAGUUAAAAAUGGAGGGGAUGAGUUGUGGAUAGGGGUGAAAGGCCAAUCAAACACCGUGAUAGCUGGUUCUCCCCGAAAUGCAUUUAGGUGCAGCGUUGCGUGGUUCUUGUUGGAGGUAGAGCACUGGAUGGUCUAGGGGGCUUAUCGGCUUACCGAAAUCAGCCAAACUCCGAAUGCUGGCAAGUGUAGCGUGGCAGUGAGACGGCGGGGGAUAAGCUUCGUCGUCGAGAGGGAAACAGCCCAGAUCAUCAGCUAAGGCCCCUAAGUGGUGACUCAGUGGGAAAGGAUGUGGAGUUGCGUAGACAACCAGGAGGUUGGCUUGGAAGCAGCCAUCCUUGAAAGAGUGCGUAAUAGCUCACUGGUCAAGUGAUUCCGCGCCGAUAAUGUAGCGGGGCUUAAGUUAUCCGCCGAAGCUGUGGCAACCUGUGUGGUUGGGUAGGGGAGCGUCGUGUCAGUGGUGAAGCUGCCGGGUGACUGUGUGGUGGAGUUGAUGCGAGUGAGAAUGCAGGCAUGAGUAGCGUGUGACGGGUGGGAAUCCCGUCCGCCGAUUAUCCAAGGGUUCCAGGGUCAAGUUUGUCUGCCCUGGGUGAGUCGGGUCCUAAGGCGAGGCCGACAGGCGUAGUCGAUGGGUAACCAGUUGAUAUUCUGGUACCGGCUUGUCACCGUCCGUGUCGAGGUGUGUGAUGCUAAGCAUGUGAGCUUGUCUUGGGAGUGUUUUUGAUGCUUCUGGGGUGGGUGAGUGUGUGAACCGAUCAUGUAGUAGGCAAGCUGCGGAGGGACGCAGUGAGGUAGCUCAUCCCCGGUGAUGGUUGUCCGGGGCUAAGUGUGUGGACUGUCUGGUAGGUAAAUCCGCUGGGCGUGAAGGUUGAGGCAUGAUGGGGAGCCCACGGUUGUGGGUGAGUGAGUGAUCCUGUACUGUCGAGAAAAGCUUCGUGAGCGAGGUGGCGGGUCCGCCCGUACCCUAAACCGACACUGGUGGAUAGGUAGAGUAUACCGAGGCGAUCGAGUGAAUCGUGGUGAAGGAACUCGGCAAAAUGCCCCCGUAACUUUGGGAUAAGGGGGACCUGAGCUGUCGUGCACCCGUGCGGUGUGGUGGCGGUGAGGGGCGCAGAGUCCAGGGGGAAACGACUGUUUACCAAAAACACAGGUCCGUGCGAAGUCGUAAGACGAUGUAUACGGACUGACUCCUGCCCGGUGCUGGAAGGUUAAGGGGAACUGUGAGUGUGAUGCGUAGCGGUGAACUUAAGCCCCAGUAAACGGCGGUGGUAACUAUAACCAUCCUAAGGUAGCGAAAUUCCUUGUCGGGUAAGUUCCGACCUGCACGAAUGGUGCAACGAUCUGGAUACUGUCUCAACCAUGAGCUCGGUGAAAUUGUAAUCCCGGUGAAGAUGCCGGGUACCCGCAAUGGGACGAAAAGACCCCGUGAACCUUUACUA